UUAGUGAUCCGGCGGUUCCGAAUGGAAGGGCCGUCGCUCAACGGAUAAAAGGUACUCCGGGGAUAACAGGCUUAUCUAGCCCAAGAGUUCAUAUCGACGGCUAGGUUUGGCACCUCGAUGUCGGCUCAUCGCAUCCUGGAGCUGAAACAGGUUCCAAGGGUUGGGCUGUUCGCCCAUUAAAGCGGUACGCGAGCUGGGUUCAGAACGUCGUGAGACAGUUCGGUCCUCAUCUGUCGUGGGCGCAGGAGAUUUGAGGGGAGCUGGCCCUAGUACGAGAGGACCGGGCUGGACGAACCUCUGAUGUACGAGUUGUUCCGCCUCGGGGCAUUGCUCGGUAGUCACGUUCGGACGGGAUAAGCGCUGAAAGCAUCUAAGCGCGAAGCCCCACCCAAGAUGAGAUCUCCCGGAUCAUCAGAUCCCUGAAGGCCCCUGGAAGACCACCAGGUUGAUAGGCCCGGAGUGUAAGGCGAGUAAUCGUCUCAGCUGACGGGUACUAAUCGGCCGUGAGGCUUGACCAC
rnacentral:rRNA from 1 species